CAGGGAAUUUUGGGCAAUGGGCGAAAGCCUGACCCAGCGACGUCGCGUGGGGGAUGACGGCCUUCGGGUUGUAAACCCCUUUUCUGGGGGAAGAGAACGGACGGUACCCCAGGAAUAAGUCUCGGCUAACUACGUGCCAGCAGCCGCGGUAAGACGUAGGAGGCGAGCGUUAUCCGGAUUUACUGGGCGUAAAGGGGAUGUAGGUGGCCCUUCAAGUCCGGGGUGAAAUCUCCUGGCUCAACCGGGAGGGGUCUUCGGAUACUAGAGGGCUUGAGGGCAGCAGAGGGAGGUAGAAUUCCCGGUGUAGCGGUGAAAUGCGUAGAUAUCGGGAGGAAUACCAGUGGCGAAGGCGGCCUCCUGGGCUGUUCCUGACGCUGAGGUCCGAAAGCGUGGGGAGCGAACCGG
rnacentral:rRNA from 1 species